AUUGAACGCUGGCGGCAUGCCUUACACAUGCAAGUCGAGCGGCAGCGCGGGGGCAACCCUGGCGGCGAGCGGCGAACGGGUGAGUAAUACAUCGGAACGUGUCCAGUAGUGGGGGAUAACCAGUCGAAAGAUUGGCUAAUACCGCAUACGAUCUACGGAUGAAAGCGGGGGACCGCAAGGCCUCGCGCUAUUGGAGCGGCCGAUGUCGGAUUAGCUAGUUGGCGGGGUAAAAGCCCACCAAGGCGACGAUCCGUAGCUGGUCUGAGAGGACGAUCAGCCACACUGGAACUGAGACACGGUCCAGACUCCUACGGGAGGCAGCAGUGGGGAAUUUUGGACAAUGGGGGCAACCCUGAUCCAGCCAUGCCGCGUGAGUGAAGAAGGCCUUCGGGUUGUAAAGCUCUUUCGGCGGGGACGAAAAGGUUCGUGACAACACCACGGACUAAUGACGGUACUCGCAGAAGAAGCACCGGCUAACUACGUGC
rnacentral:rRNA from 1 species